rnacentral:rRNA from 1 species
AACGAACGCUGGCGGCAUGCCUAACACAUGCAAGUCGAACGAAGGCUUCGGCCUUAGUGGCGCACGGGUGCGUAACGCGUGGGAAUCUGCCCCUCGGUUCGGAAUAACACAGAGAAAUUUGUGCUAGUACCGGAUGAUGACUUCGGUCCAAAGAUUUAUCGCCGAGGGAUGAGCCCGCGUAGGAUUAGUUAGUUGGUGGGGUAAUGGCCUACCAAGGCGACGAUCUUUAGCUGGUCUGAGAGGAUGAUCAGCCACACUGGGACUGAGACACGGCCCAGACUCCUACGGGAGGCAGCAGUGGGGAAUAUUGGACAAUGGGCGAAAGCCUGAUCCAGCAAUGCCGCGUGAGUGAUGAAGGCCUUAGGGUUGUAAAGCUCUUUUACCCGGGAUGAUAAUGACAGUACCGGGAGAAUAAGCUCCGGCUAACUCCGUGCCAGCCGCCGCGGUAACAC